rnacentral:rRNA from 1 species
UCCGUAGGUGAACCUGCGGAAGGAUCAUUAUUGAAUUUAAUGAGGGGAUAUUUGGUUGUAGCUGGCUCAUGAAUUUGGGCAUGUGCACACCUAUCUCUUUCAUCCACACACACCUGUGCACUUGUGAGGCAGAUGGGGAAUUUAUUGAUUGUUUUUUAAGAACAAUUGGUGCUGGACCCUCUGUCUACUCAAUAUAGAAACUCAAUUUAUUUAGAAAUGAAUGUAAUGGAUGUAACGCAUCUAAUACUAAGUUUCAACAACGGAUCUCUUGGCUCUCGCAUCGAUGAAGAACGCAGCGAAAUGCGAUAAGUAAUGUGAAUUGCAGAAUUCAGUGAAUCAUCGAAUCUUUGAACGCACCUUGCGCUCCUUGGUAUUCCUUGGAGCAUGCCUGUUUGAGUAUCAUGAAAUCUUCAAAGUAAAUCUUUUGUUAACUCAAUUGGUUCUACUUUGGUAUUGGAGGUCUUUGCAGCUUCACACCUGCUCCUCUUCGUUCAUUAGCUGGAUCUCAGUGUUAUGCUUGGUUCCACUCAGCGUGAUAAGUUAUCUAUCGCUGAGGACACUGUAACAGGUGGCCAAGGGAAAUGCAGAUGAACCGCUUCUAAUAGUCCAUUGACUUGGACACUAUUUUUAUGAUCUGAUCUCAAAUCAGGUAGGACUACCCGCUGAACUUAAGCAUAUCAAUAAGCGGAGGA